CGCAUGCAGUGUCUAAAAACAAUUUCACGUUUCCGUGGAAUUGUUCUACGAUUAUUCACAGUUUGGAAAGGCGCUGUUUUAAUAAAAAUAAAAUAAUUUUAAAUAUAUUUAUUCAGCAAUCUAAAUUUGAACAUUUUUAAGCUGCGUGAUAUUUACAAAUUGACUUAAAUCGUAAGCUUUUGAAUUUCCGGCCGACGCAAAAAGCCGUUGGAACGCCUGGCGUUGUAUUUUAGAUUUGGAUCUAUGGCAUCUGAGAUCGAUCGAACGACGGUAACGCUGUCUGGAUUCAUGGAACGGAACCUAGACGAUUGACUAGUUCCUCUUGAGUACGAUGCGCUCGACGCCAUGUUAACAGCUGAUGCGCCUGCGCACGGUAUUUCAUACGAAGAUCUCUGAAAACAAAAACUUUGAUUUUAGUCUCGCUACUCGGAUCUAUCUUCCUAUACUAUAACUAAAUAUAUAUGAAGUAUCUUUAGCAAUAUUAACAUUAUGUAAGAGAUGCUGAUUUAAAAAUACACUGGUUUCUUUCACCUAUUACAAACAAAAGAGCUCACUCGAUGUUUGAAAAGUACGUAUCCAUACGUGGGAAAAUGGAGAGAAAAUAUGUUAUUUUUCAUUUUACAUCUGAAUUGAACCUUGGAAGAAAGCGCUUCUAUAAUAAAUGAAAUCCCCUUUAUACAGUGAAUCAUAAAUACACUACUUUAUUACCGUAAACAAUUUGAUUAAAAACGUAGAAUAUAUAUUAAUAGACACUGUAGUGUUA